GCUCAGGAUGAACGCUGGCGGCGUGCCUAAUACAUGCAAGUCGAGCGAACAGAUAAGGAGCUUGCUCCUUUGAAGUCAGCGGCGGACGGGUGAGUAACACGUGGGUAACCUACCUAUAAGACUGGAAUAACUUCGGGAAACCGGAGCUAAUGCCGGAUAACAUAUAGAACCGCAUGGUUCUAUAGUGAAAGAUGGUUUUGCUAUCACUUAUAGAUGGACCCGCGCCGUAUUAGCUAGUUGGUAAGGUAAAGGCUUACCAAGGCGACGAUACGUAGCCGACCUGAGAGGGUGAUCGGCCACACUGGAACUGAGACACGGUCCAGACUCCUACGGGAGGCAGCAGUAGGGAAUCUUCCGCAAUGGGCGAAAGCCUGACGGAGCAACGCCGCGUGAGUGAUGAAGGUUUUCGGAUCGUAAAACUCUGUUAUUAGGGAAGAACAAAUGCGUAAGUAACUGUGCGCAUCUUGACGGUACCUAAUCAGAAAGCCACGGCUAACUACGUGCCAGCAGCCGCGGUAAUACGUAGGUGGCAAGCGUUAUCCGGAAUUAUUGGGCGUAAAGCGCGCGUAGGCGGUUUCUUAAGUCUGAUGUGAAAGCCCACGGCUCAACCGUGGAGGGUCAUUGGAAACUGGGAAACUUGAGUGCAGAAGAGGAAAGUGGAAUUCCAUGUGUAGCGGUGAAAUGCGCAGAGAUAUGGAGGAACACCAGUGGCGAAGGCGACUUUCUGGUCUGUAACUGACGCUGAUGUGCGAAAG
rnacentral:rRNA from 1 species